CAAACCUGUGCUGGACUCACAUCACCCCUCACAGAGCCUCAAAUCAAAAGAAUGAAACCUCCAUGGCUCACCAGCAACCAGGGAUGUGUUAUGGGCUACCAAGAGGACAGGAAAGAGGAAACAGCAAACCACAGUAUUGAACUGAGCCAAGUGAUGCCACUGGGGGAAGAGAGAAGAAAGAGGAACAGAGAAGAGGGGAGAGAACAGGACAUAAAGAUGGAUGCACAUAAAGACAGAAUGUUCACAUAAAAACCUUAUUUACAGGACCACAGUGGCCUGAAAACCUGCACCUAUCAACCUGCAAACUUCUAAAUGAAUAGGUAAUCACACUUAACUAGCCAGCCUGGCCACUGUUAUUGCUAAGAAGGAAAAAAAUAAAUAAAA